rnacentral:rRNA from 1 species
UAUGUGUGUAAGAUGUGAUAAUGUAAAGGAAAAUGAUGAUUGUACUUUACUAUUAGUGUCGUCCAAAUACUGGUGCCAGAAGACUCGGUAAGGCCAGAGACGCAAACGUUAAUCGUCUUAAAAAGGCGUAAAGGGUAUGUAGGCUGCUUUAAAUUUCCUUAUUAAUAAUAAUGAACUAAAAAGUAUUAAUAGUAUAAAUUAAAGCUAGAAUCAAAAAGAGGUUAUUUAAAUUAUACUUGGAGUAAGGGUAAAAUCUGUAGAUACUAAGUAGAAUACUAAUAGCGAAAGCAUUUUUCCACUAAUGAUUGACGCUGAGAUACGAAGGUAAGGAUAGGAAACAGGAUUAGAGACCCAGGUACCCCUUACUGUCAACGAUGAAUGGUAGUUAUUAUUUUGAAGAAUUAAUAGUAACAAUGUUAACACGUUAACCAUUCCGCCU